rnacentral:rRNA from 1 species
GAGUAAUGCGUGACCAACCUGCCCCAUGCUCCAGAAUAGCUCUUGGAAACGGGUGGUAAUGCUGGAUGCUCCAACUUGACGCAUGUCUUGUUGGGAAAGUGUUUAGUGGCAUGGGAUGGGGUCGCGUCCUAUCAGCUUGUAGGCGGGGUAAUGGCCCACCUAGGCUUCGACGGGUAGCCGGCCUGAGAGGGCGGACGGCCACAUUGGGACUGAGAUACGGCCCAGACUCCUACGGGAGGCAGCAGGA